rnacentral:rRNA from 1 species
AUUGAACGCUGGCGGCAGGCCUAACACAUGCAAGUCGAACGGUAACAGGAAGAAGCUUGCUUCUUUGCUGACGAGUGGCGGACGGGUGAGUAAUGUCUGGGAAACUGCCUGAUGGAGGGGGAUAACUACUGGAAACGGUAGCUAAUACCGCAUAACGUCGCAAGACCAAAGAGGGGGACCUUCGGGCCUCUUGCCAUCGGAUGUGCCCAGAUGGGAUUAGCUAGUAGGUGGGGUAACGGCUCACCUAGGCGACGAUCCCUAGCUGGUCUGAGAGGAUGACCAGCCACACUGGAAUUGAGACACGGUCCAGACUCCUACGGGAGGCAGCAGUGGGGAAUAUUGCACAAUGGGCGCAAGCCUGAUGCAGCCAUGCCGCGUGUAUGAAGAAGGCCUUCGGGUUGUAAAGUACUUUCAGCGGGGAGGAAGGGAGUAAAGUUAAUACCUUUGCUCAUUGACGUUACCCGCAGAAGAAGCACCGGCUAACUCCGUG